rnacentral:rRNA from 1 species
CAGCCGCCGCGGGAAUACGGAGGGUGCAAGCGUUAAUCGGAUUUACUGGGCGUAAAGCGUGCGUAGGCGGCUUCUUAAGUCGGAUGUGAAAUCCCUGAGCUUAACUUAGGAAUUGCAUUCGAUACUGGGAAGCUAGAGUAUGGGAGAGGAUGGUAGAAUUCCAGGUGUAGCGGUGAAAUGCGUAGAGAUCUGGAGGAAUACCGAUGGCGAAGGCAGCCAUCUGGCCUAAUACUGACGCUGAGGUACGAAAGCAUGGGGAGCAAACAGGAUUAGAUACCCCCGUAGUCCCUGUCUCUUAUAA